CUAAUACCGGAUAAGAAAGACGGAUCGCAUGAUCAGCUUUUAAAAGGCGGCGUAAGCUGUCGCUAUGGGAUGGCCCGCGGUGCAUUAGCUAGUUGGUAAGGUAAAGGCUUACCAAGGCGAUGAUGCAUAGCCGAGUUGAGAGACUGAUCGGCCACAUUGGGACUGAGACACGGCCCAAACUCCUACGGGAGGCAGCAGCC
rnacentral:rRNA from 1 species